rnacentral:lncRNA from 1 species
UCUUUUAUUUACAAUGAACGGGUAUAGUUUUGCUUAUUCAUAUAACGACUACUCCUCAAUCGCUUUCGACGCCCGAGUCUUGUGGGAGAACCCACCAAGUCCCGAGUAAGCCUUAAUUGAAAUUUUAGUUAUUACUACAUAAUCCUGCUACCUAUCUAUGAAAUUACUUUAAGCCUUAUGACUCUUUGUAAUAAAAAUUUAACAUAAUUGUAAUAAGCCAUCUUGACCUUUAUUUGCCAUAAUCGUAAAAAUACAUUAUAGUUUAUAAUUUACUAACUGCACAUUUACAUUGACACUAUUUACCAAUACAUCAUACUAUGGAUGACUUGACCUCUAGCAGUGAAGCGACUUGGAAUAAAGUGAUAUGAGAUGCCUUUACCUAUCCACAAUAGACAAAACGUGUCGAUGAACGUACGUUAGGUCGAUCACUACUUGCAAAAGGGAGAUAAAGGGAUGAGUCUCACAGAAUCAGUGAUCAUUAGCUCCGUGAGCAAGGAGUAGAUGGCAAACAAGCGUAAAGCAGUUAAUUUGAAUAAUAAAACCAGAAUAUAAAAGGAUAAUCUUAUGAAACCAAAUCACAAAUAGGGUAUUUGUGCCUUGUAGAAAUAAUGCUAUAAAUCAUAAUGCAAUACUUUCCUUGGUAAACAGUGCUGAAAAUAAAGCGUAGUAAAAUGCAUUUCAAUGCUCAAAAUCAUCCAUUUCCUUUAAAAACACAAUAGUCGUAUAAAUCACGCACGCUCCCAAAAUUUGUGGCAUGUAAACAUAACCGUGUACAUUCAUGUGUAUCAACUCAAAAUCAACUUAUAAAGCACUGAAAGCUCACAAGCAAAUAGAGGAGCUACGAAGAACAUUAACUCUCCACCAUGCAAAAGAGUACGAGUCUAAAACUCUCAAGGCUCUCGAGUAGGUAAACAUAGUAAUCACUCGUGAACCCACUUCCACAUAAUAACAAUCCUGGAGGUCUUCUUUCAUCAGAUUCCCACAACCAUGGCAGUCUCGACGAUGUUGGCCAACAUCAGAGAAAUCAAGUGGUUGCAACCAAGUAUAUCAACUUGUGGCCUAGCCACAUAUAUCAACCUGUGACCUUGCCAUGCAUAUAUCACAGACUGUGGCCCCAACCACGUCUAACAGCCCGUCGGCAAUCCAAAGGUUCUCUAGGUAGAGCUCACUUGUGCAUAAGGGUCACACUAUCUCGAUGUGACUUUCAACCUACUCUCGACGCUCUCGGUUUGUCAAAACCAUUUUCAAAACCAAAUCAAGUUUUUUGAGACUUUUGCUUUAAAUCUUUUGAAAACAAGGUUCGAUAACCUUUCAAAUUGCUUUUCACAUUAAAUGCAUGGUGUAAACAUUUGUAUAAAAAUCGAACUAAAGUCGGCUCUCAAAAGUUUGCAUUUAAACCAUUUUGACAAGUACAUUUAACUAGGCAUAUCACACAAAGAUACAAGACAUGGAUUUUGGGUACAAAACAAUGCAAAAAGGCUUGUUUCCCGAUUUCUAAAACUCUUUAUAUAUAUGUAUAUAUAUAUAUAUAUAUAUAUAUAUAUAUAUAUAUUACAUAAACAAUUUUGAAAUCAACUUNAACUUACUUAUUAUAUAUAUAUAUAUAUAUAUAUAUAUAUAUAUAUAUAUAUAUAUUCUACAUAAACAAUUUUGAAAUCAACUUGUAUCCACAAUUUCCUAUGGUUUCUACCAGCUCGUGCUUUCCACAAUAGUAGUGUAUAAAUCAUUGUAAAUCCAUUUUAAAAUCGCCUUUCAACGCUAAUAACUCAUAUUAUCCGCAAUUGCAUUUAAAGAAAAUUGGCAACGCUUAUUAAACAUAUAACAAUAUAUAGUGUAUAGAUAUUUUGAAAUAGACAUCCCUUACUCACCUUACAAUAGCGGGACACUACGUCGCUAUCAGUUCAGGUGCGUCUCUAUCUAAUGUUACUUGCCGGCCACCCGUCACCACCUCCAGUACACCACCACAGCAAACCUUCUUCACUUGUACAUGUCCUAGCAGCAAUUUAACUCAAUAUAUUUAGUGAAUGUCACCACAAAUUCAUUCAUAUUUGUUGCCUUAUGCACCACUUUCUUAGUUUUAUGCUUUUAUAUCUCAUCCCAUUUUCUUUCUCAUUCAUACAUUAAUCAUCGUUUUCAUAACUUACGUCAUGCUAGAAUCACCAUUCUUUCUCAUUUAACCUUUGCAUAUUCAUAUACAUCUUGACAUAUUUUUUUCUAAAGGAAUUCAUAUAUUUUACUUAUGUAAUUCUUUAUAUUAUACGUACUGGUAAUUUAUUUAUAAUAUUAAGUGCCCAUUUCAACCUUUUCAAGCAACUUUCAUCCAAAUCCAUCUUAUAUUUUCAUAAUAUUAACCACAUUUAUGGCAACAACAAUCAUUCCAAUCUCACUCAAUUAUUUCCAAGUUUACAUGCAUCAUAAUUGUCAUGACCCGGAACUCUCAUCGAGCCCGUGACAACCGCCGCUACGUCCCGAUAGACAUUCAUUACCCGGAAUGUCAAUCGAAAUCUCGCAAAGCUUAACAUCAGUUUUUCUCGCUUUCCCUAUGAGUAUUAGUUACUAAAAUCAUGUUUUGAGAGAUUAUAAACUAUUUCCAAAUCAAAACAAUAGAAAAAUAAUUUUUUUCUCACAGGGGCAUUUUGGUCAUUUUUCCUCAAAAAUCUCGAAAUCUGCUAAAAUGUAGUAUGCCAGUACAAAACACAUAAUUCAUAAUCAAAAAUAAGUUUAAACAUCUAAAACCUUCAUUUAAAAUGAAAUUAUGAUUAUUUUGAUAUAAUAAAAAUAAAAAAUAAAAGAAAUAUUCAAUAAAAUAUUCUAUUUUCUUAUAAAAUAAUAUUUUUAGAGUUAUACGUAAAUAAUUUUUUUUCAGCGUAAAAGCAAAAUACAUUCAUACAUACGGUAAUACAGUAAGUCAGAGUAUUUAAUUUAAUUUACAAUAACUAGUGGGCCUCCGAAUAACCAAAAUUAAGGAAGACUGUGAACCUACAGUUUGAAGGAUGCAAAUCCAAUGGUAGCUUCGAUGAAAUCCACUAUCUACAGUCUAUUCUGAGCCUUAAAUGGGUGGAAAGGAGAGUGGUGAGAUUAUAUAAUCCCAAUUAGUAAACAAAUACGAUCUAAAAUAUCUAAAGCUGAGUAAAUGGAGACAGAUUAAAAUAGAUCAUCAUACUGUAAUUUAUCACCUUUCAACUCAUUUUAACCAAAUAAAAUCAAUUCAUAUAAAUCGAGUAAUCAACAUGGCUUAUAAAUUUCUUAAAAUUUUGGUUCGUGCCAAAAUCAUUCUCAUACUCAGUUAUUAGGGAUACCUUGGCAUGGGGCUAUCCCAACCGAGUCCGCCAAGGCUGUUAAAAAUUUCGUAUACACAUAAACAUAUUUUUAUUUUGAAAACAUAGUCGUUCCUUGGCAUUGGCUGAGUUCACCCUCACGUGGUGGUUUGGCGUGAAGUGAACUCUAAGAGUGUACCUCGGGAGUUACCCUACACGCCUCUCCAACCGAGGUAAGAAUAUAACAGGGUUACCAUGCCCCUCUAAUAGGCUAAAUAAAAUCUAAACCCACCAAUUCAAUAAAAUCUCAAUCGCAUGACAUGGCAAUUAUAUCACAAUCUAACCUCUCAAGGCUAAAUACACAGUUCAUAUAUUUUCAGCACAUUUACCAAUUCAGCCAUUCAUGCAACUAUUGUCAUAAGCCAUUCGAUUCAAACCAUGAAUUUAAAAAACAUGAAAACAGUCUCCAAUUACUCUAUUUUCAAAACCAUCAUUCAAUCUCAAGACAAUUUUAUAAAAUCAUUUUCAUUUAAUCUCAUUUUGCUUAUAAAACAUAAAGAUUUACUAUUUAAUCUCAUUUUCCAUAAAAUCACAAAAUCGAAUAAAACCACUUUAGAUAAUUAAGACGAUAGUAAGGUUACUCACUAUUUUGGGAGUCGAAUUUCAAGUACUCCGAUUCUUGAUCCUCGGGUACUAUCUCUUUACUUUUGCCAGAAUGCUCACCACCUAGACAUAAUGCACAAUAAGCCAUUUACUACAUUUGUGCUAAAUUGUUAUAAAACCAAUUUAGGCUCUAUACUAAUGCAUGAAAUGGGAUGUAAAUUGUUCGGAUUAUCGUCUAAACACGAUGUUCUACACAAAUUUAAUUGUGUACUUAAAUAAAACGGUAUUGGCCUAAUUCGAUCUAUCACUCGAUUAAUUGGUCAAUAUGUCCAAUUCAACUCCAAUUAACUCCAUAUUUCUUCUAAUUCUCCAAAUCAUCAAACAUAAAUUAAAUAACUUGAAAUAUGGCAAAAUCAUCCUCACAUUUUUUCUUGGGAAUUUCGGCCGUGGUGGGUGCAUCAACACUUUGAUAUUUCCUACUUGAUUUUCUCACCAUAAUUCAUCAUUUCCUAACCAAUUCACUUGAAAUAAAAUCAAAUCCACCAUCCACACUUUACAUGGAAAAUUUAGCCAAUGAUGGGUGAUGGAAGAACAUGAAUUUUUCUUGCUUGAUUUUCAUGCUACACAUCACUAACUAACUAAAAACACUAAAAUAUCUUAAAAUCUAAUCAAAUCAAGCAUCAAAACUCCUCCCCCCAUGGUCGGCCAGCAAGGGAUUCAUCAUGCCAACUUGAUUCUCAACCAUGGAAAAUGCAAAAUAAUGCAUAGGAAAGGUAGAUCACAAGCUAGAAUUGAAAAAUCUUACCUUUUUUCACUUGUUUCCUUGAAUUUUCACACUUUUCCCUUGAAUUUUUCCACCUAGGUUUUUUGUUCUUCUUUUCUUCCUUUGUUCUUCCUUUGGCCGGCCAUAUGAAGAGAAAUGGGCUGAUUUUGUGCUGAUUUUUAAGCCAAAUAAUAAAUAGAUGAAAAUUUGACACAUGUCACCAUUCCAUUGAUCCAUGUGUCAUACUUACCCAUUAAGCAAUCUCUCUCCACCACUUAAAUUUUCUCAAUCAUCCAUGAUAAUAUUGGGUAAAAUUCUUGUGCUGGACAAGUGUUGGGUGGUGUAAAAUUACAAUUUUGCCCUUGUGGUGGCAAAAUGACUAUUUUGACCUUAUGCUAGGAAAAAUGCCGGAAUUAAAAUUCUUCACUUCUCAAACUCAAAUUAGGUUCUAAAUUGUCAAUCUUGAUCAAAAACUUCUUCCAACAUUCCAAUUUUAACCUUGGGUGGCAAAAUGACCAUUUUGCCCCUACAUCAUGAAAAUUUUAAUUUGACUCCAAAUUGGUCCUCGAACUCCGAAUCACCAUUUUAAGUUAUUCUGGGAUUUUAAAAUUCUCAAUUUCAUCUUAAAAUCUCUAUUUGGACUAGUUCGAGGCUUAAUUCAACUUAAUUGUACCAUUUGGUACAUUGUCAUCCUUUAACGAUUUUCGAGGUACCCAAGUAAGCAAACAUGCAUUCUUAUGUAAGAAUGGCAUAAUAAACAUAUUGCAGAGCUAGGCUUGACAGUACUACUCCCCUUAAAAUAAAAUUUUGAUCUCAAAAUUUCAUUUACUAAACGCAGAGAAUAGGUGGGGAUAUUGUUUUCUCAUCUAAUGCUCGACUUCUUAUGUCAUCCCCUUUAUAGGGAAUUUCUAUUUGUUCACCUCAUUUACCUCCAAUUCAACUCGAGUACUUCAUUUAUGUCUAUUAUUAUCCUUUAAAAUGACCAACAAUAACCUUUACAAUUCUGAUCUCUUAUAUCGAGACACCAAGCAUGCUUCUAUUACUAUCAUUAAACUUGAACCAUAACUCCAUCUCAAUCAUAACAAUUUCGAUCGCAUUUUAUACUUAUUUAGGUAUACCAAUCAUUAUCUUAUUACUUCAUUCCAUAUCAAACUUCUCGACUUUCAUUCAUUCAUCCUAUCCUCGUACACUAUUGGGUAGUUUAUGGCAUCAUUAACAUGCCAUACUCAUUCUUGUACAUAUCCUCAGUGUUAAGGAAGAUUAAUGGCUUCAAUUAUUUCCACAUACUUCAUGUUUACCUUGCAUUUAGGAAAUUUCAAUCUUCUUAAUCCUAUUAAUCCAUCUCAUAAGGCUUAAUCUCUUGUCUUCUUUAUUUCUUAAGAUUUGACUUCAGUCAACAUAUUAUUCAUCUUAACACUCCACAUGUUAAUUUAUUUUUAUGUAGCCAUCUCAAAAACUCUCUGACUUUUUCUUCUCUUACAUGCCAAUAUAUAAGGCAAUAAAGAACUUUGCAAUUUCACUCAUUAUCUUUAUCUUAAUACCUCCUCAAUGCACUUAAAACUCCAAACAACAAAGCUUAGCAUCAAAACCAAUGACCAUUCUUCAACUCGUGAGUUUCAUCUUCAUGCCACUCUCAAUUUUCUCGUGCUUUCUAGCCAUAAAGGGUUCUUAACCAAUUACAUUUAUAAAGUGGAUAAUUCACUUAAUUAUUACAUCUCGUCCUUGCAGUUAUAAGAUCAAGAUAUCUCGAAUUUAAGAUGCAAAAGUUCCCUCCAAGAGCAUAUCCAAAAAUCCACAUAUUUCAAGUCCCACCUUAAGACAUCUUUCCCAUAUGGUGUAAUGAAUUCACAAUAUAUACAUCAGCAUACACAUAAUUACUUAUUAUUUAUAGUAUCCCACUAUUUUCAUUAUCCAUUAUUAAUCAUCUUCCUUGUCUUCUAACUCCAAUAGUUUAUUAACUUCCAGUACAAAGACCACGAAAAUAGUUCAUCUUUCACUACAUUUAUACUCACAAUCCUUAUUAAUAAAAAAUUUAUCUUUUUCAAGUUCCUUCAUUUAUCUCUAAUGGACCAUAUUUGUAUUAGAUUAUCUUCCUAUAAUGUUAUGGCAUCAUUUUAUACUUCCUUCACCCUCAAGUUUACAAUCUUUAACUUUAUCACAUUAAUCGCUCAAAAUGUCAUCUAGAGCCUCAUUGAUUUCUUCCAUAUCCUUUCGAAAUAUAACUACAAUUAAGAUUCCCAAUUUCACAUCUCCAUGAUUGAUUGUUAGUCUUACCACACUGUCUCCCAUUAUCCUGUGCAAUUACAACACACUGAACCCACUUAUUAUAACAUAGUCCCCUAGUUCAAUGUGCUUGCUUGGGAAUCAUCUUCUUUGAUACAAUUUGUCCCAUAAACUAGAAUUUUAUUUAUUUAGCUUCGCAUUUGGAAUCAUAUCAAAAACUCACAUACUAUGAUAAGUAAUGAUUCUCAACAAAUAUCAUUAAUUCAAAUGACCUUUUAUACCUCGUCAAAAUCUAGGGUUAUCACCCCAAAAGUUUAUCACGUUAAUCAGUCUCCAUUUCUUAGUACUGCAAAAAUAUAUUCAUUGCUAGAUCUGGUAAUUGCUUGAAUCAUUAAUGACUUUCCACAUCAGUCUUUAGUAAUUAUUUAUCAACCAUGCCACGAAGAUAAAUAUCUUUCCUUAACAAUCAUAGUGCUAGUCCAAUUCUAUCCUACCAAAAGAUUCCCAUAUACCUCCAAUCACUUAAAUAGCUACUUUAUAAUACAUUCUAGUCACACACUUUAAAAGCCAAACUAUUAACUUCUUUGUACAAAUAACUAUUAUCUCUUUUAUUCUACAUCUACCUAGAGUUAAAGUAGUACAAAAUCCUACGAAAAUAUUACAUGUCAUUAGGAUCAUCAUCUUAAUCUGAUCUUAUCGAAAGAUUAUACUCCAAGUCCUUCUUAAGAUCCUCUUUCGAGUUCUCCUCCUCUUGAGAUUUUCUCUUUUGUUCCUCAAUCCAGGCUUGUUGUAUUCUCUUACAUUCCUCAUAACUCACCGGUGCAGCAUUUCUUCCACAACCAGGAGGAAAAUGUUGUACAACAUUCACCUUCCUACGGGGAUUAUUUGCAAUAGUUACUUUCUCCUUAUUCUUUUCCUAUUGUUCAUUUACAUUCAUCCCACAGCCUAGAGGAUAGUGUUGAACAACUGACACGCCCUUCCUAGGACGAAUACCUCCCCUUGCAAUUGCCUUCCUCGCCCAUUCUCUAUGGUACUCUUCAGGUUGUUUCAAAAGGAAAUCUUUUACAAUUUUUGGAGUAUCAGAGCUGCUCUCACUUUCAAAAUUCUUGUUACACUUGAAGCUUUCCUUAUUACUAUCAGCACUUUUUAGACUACUUGGUUCAAGUUGCCAUCGGCUCAUAGCAAUAGAAUCUAAUGAUCCCUCACUAGCACUAUGAGGGGUAUCGGGACUAUCGCCUCUUCUAGACAUGGUGUGUGUGUCACUAGCAUACUUCAAAACCUAUACGCAACCAAGUAGUAAUUACUUAAUCAUUUACGCAUCACCAGAGCAGGUAGGUUUCUAUAUGCAGAUGCAUGCAUUCGACUCAACGUAACUUAACUUAACUCAAGGCCACACUGACACUGUAAAUUUUAAAAUAACUUUAAAACAGUUUUAAACCCAAAAGCUCUAAUCUUUAAAAACAAAAGCUUUGAUAACAAUCCAAUUGUCACGAUCGGGAAGUCUCAUCGAGCCCGUGACAACCGCCGCGAAGUCCUGAUAGACAUUCAUUAUCCGGAAUGUCAAUCGAAACAUCGUAAGGCUUAACAUCAGUUUUUCUCGCUUCCCCUGUGAGUAUUAGUUACUAAAAUCAUGUUUUGAGAGAUUAUAAACUAUUUUCAAAUCAAAACAAUAGAAAAAUCAUUUUUUCUCACAGGGGCAUUUUGGUCAUUUUUCUUCAAAAAUCUUGAAAUUUGCUAAAAUAUAGUAUGCGAGUACAAAACACAUAAUUCAUAAUCAAAAAUAAGUUUAAACAUCUAAAACCCUUUUUUAAAAUGAAAUUAUGAUUAUUUGGAUAUAAUAAAAAAUAAAAGAAAUAUUCAAUAAAAUAUUCUAUUUUCUUAUAAAACAAUAUUUUUAGAGUUAUACGUAAAUAAUUUUUUUUUCAGCAUAAAAGCAAAAUACAUUCAUACAUACAGUAAUACAGUAAGCCAGAGUAUUUAAUUUAAUUUACAAUAACUAGUGGGCCUCAAAUAACCAAAAGUAAGGAAGACUAUGAACCUACAGUUUGAAGGAUGCAAAUCCAAUGGUAGCCUCAAUGAAAUCCGCUAUCUACAGCCUAUUUUGAGCCUGAAAUGGGUGGAAAUGAGGGUGGUGAGAUUAUAUAAUCCCAGUGAGUAAACAAAUACCAUCUAAAAUAUCUAAAGCUGAGUAAAUGGAGACAGAUUAAAAUAGAUCAUCAUACUGUAAUUUAUCACCUUUCAACUCAUUUUAACCAAAUAAAAUCAAUUCAUAUAAAUCGAGUAAUCAACAUGGCUUAUGAAUUUCUUAAAACUUUGGCUUGUGCCAAAAUCAUUCUCAUACUCAGUUAUCAGGGAUACCUUAGCAUGGGGCUAUCCCAACCGAGUCCACCAAGGCUGUUAAAAAUUUCGUACACACAUAAACAUAUUUUUAUUUUGAAAACAUAGCUGUUCCUUGGCGUUGGCUGAGUUCACCCUCACGUGAUGGUUUGGCGUGAAGUGAACUAUAAGAGUGUACCUCGGGAGUUACCCUACACGCCUCUCUGACCGAGGUAAGAAUAUAACAGGGUUACCGUGCCCCUCUAAUAGGCUGGUCCACGGAACCUGCCCACUGCAGCAAGCUAAGCCCACCAAUUCAAUAAAAUCUUAACCGCAUGACAUGGCAAUUAUAUCACAAUCCAGCCUCUCAAGGCUAAAUACACAGUUCAUAUAUUUUCAUCACAUUUACCAAUUCAGUCAUUCAUGCAAAUAUUGUCAUAAGCCAUUCGAUUCAAACCAUGAAUUUACAACACAUGAAAAUAGUCUCCAAUUACUCUAUUUUCAAAACCAUCAUUCAAUCUCAAGACAAUUUUAUAAAAUCAUUUUCAUUUAAUCUCAUUUUGCUUAUAAAACAUAAAGAUUUACUAUUUAAACUCAUUUUCCAUAAAAUCACAAAAUCGGAUAAAACCAUUUUAGAUAAUUAAGACGAUAGUAAGGUUACUCACUAUUUCGGGAGUCGAAUUCCAAGUACUUCGAUUCUUGAUCCUCGGGUACUAUCUCUUUACUUUUGCCAAAAUGCUCACCACCUAGACAUAAUGCACAAUAAGCCAUUUACUACAUUUGUGCUAAAUUGUUAUAAAACCAAUUCAGGCUCUAUACUAAUGCAUGAAAUGGGAUGUAAAUUGUUCGGAUUAUCGUCUAAACACGAUGUUUUACACAAAUUCAAUUAUGUACUUAAAUAAAACGGUAUUGGCCAAUUUCGAUCUAUCACUCGAUUAAUUGGCCAAUAUGUCCAAUUCAACUCCAAUUAACUCCAUUUGUCUUCCAAUUCUCCAAAUCAUCAAACACAAAUUAAAUAACUUGAAAUUUGGCAAAAUCAUCCUCACAUUUUUUCUUGGGAAUUUCGACCAUGGUGGGUGCAUCAACACUAUGAUUUUCCUACUUGAUUUUCUCACCAUAAUUCAUCAUUUCCUAACCAAUUCACUUGAAAUAAAAUCAAAUCCACCAUCCACACUUUACAUGGAUAAUUCAGCCAAUGAUGGGUGAUGGAAGAACAUGAAUUUUUCUUACUUGAUUUUCAUGCUACACAUCACUAACUAACUAAAAACACUAAAAUAUAAAAAAAUCUAACCAAAUCAAGCAUCAAAACUCCUCCCCCCAUGGUCGGCCAGCAAGGGAUUCAUCAUGCAAACUUGAUUCUCAACCAUGGAAAAUGCAAAAUAAUGCAUAGGAAAGGUAGAUCACAAGCUAGAAUUGAAAAAUCUUACCUUUUUUCACUUGUUUCUUUGAAUUUUCACACUUUUCCCUUGAAUUUUUCCACCUAGGGUUUUUGUUCUUCUUUUCUU